GUGUCAGCCGCCGCGGUAAUACGUAGGGGGCAAGCGUUGUCCGGAUUUAUUGGGCGUAAAGAGCGUGUAGGCGGCCUGGUAGGUCGGUUGUGAAAACUAGAGGCUCAACCUCUAGACGUCGACCGAAACCACCUGGCUAGAGUCCGGAAGAGGAGAGUGGAAUUCCUGGUGUAGCGGUGAAAUGCGCAGAUAUCAGGAAGAACACCCGUGGCGAAAGCGGCUCUCUGGGACGGUACUGACGCUGAGACGCGAAAGCGUGGGGAGCGAACAGGAUUAGAAACCCGAGUAGUCC
rnacentral:rRNA from 1 species